UUAGGAGCGGGUGACAGAUGCGCAAGGUGCCCUGAGGGCUUGGAGAGAGGCUAGUCAGGCAUAAAUACCACAGCAGGCUGUGCAGGCAGUUUAUGCUGCAGGAUGUGGAAGCUGGAGAAGUCUGGGGAAAGUGGAAAUGAGAACUGGGGAAGAGGAUUGUAUUCAGAUCCUGCUUAGUAAAAGGGAGGAAGGUAGCAGAUAUAUUUUUAAGAAGGUAAAUGAUGCAUAGCAGGGAUUUAGAGCUUUGAUUUCAGGAGAAAGAACUAGUAUAGCAGUGAUGUAUGUAUGGGGAAAAUGCCCUGGGCUCUAGAUUGCGUGUUAGGAAAUAAGUCUUGAGCUAAAGAUACGUAAGGUUUAUUGUAGAAAUGUGAGGUUUUAGGCCAUAUGGAUAUUGUCUCACAGACCCUACUGUUACUGAUGCCUUUGCUAGUCACCCCGCAGGUAGCAGAGGAUUGUAGCAGCAUUCCCAGUCAGCCUGAGGUCGUGUUGGGCACAGAGGGCAGCACGGGACAGGACGCAGCAGCCAUCCGCAUGGAGCUCCCGGCUCUGCAGAAGCUGUCUAGCGCUGUCCGGAUCUGUGUGUGGGGGGUGUUUCUUCCCCCGAAGUUUUCCUGGAACCGGGCACGGGACGGAGCCGCCUCCCGCCUGGGGGACGGGGACAGCCGCGGGCCGCCGGCGCCACCUCCUGGGAGCGCUGAGUAUCGCGGAGGCCUCCGCCUCACAAAGUACUGUUCAUACUGCCUGUGCUAUAACUUUCAUCUCCAUCCCUGGCUUUGAUUUGCAUACUCUAGUAACAUGAGGUUUAUCAAGCUGCUAAAAUGCAGAGACUUGGAAAGGUUGGCUUUCCUCCGUAUACUUUUCCAAGUCAGGCGGACAGAAUUCUUCAGCAGUACUUCAAUGAAUGAGGUGAGAUACCGCAUCAUUGGCUUAUUCACAUUACAGUAUCUG
rnacentral:lncRNA from 1 species